rnacentral:rRNA from 1 species
GACGGAGAAGGUUAGGUCAGCCGGGUGUUGGACGUCCCGGUUUAAGCGUGUAGGCGUGCCCCUUAGGCAAAUCCGGGGGGGCUGAGCUGAGGCGUGAUGACGAGGAACCACGGUUCCGAAGUGAUUGAUACCAAGCUUCCAGGAAAAGCCACUAAGCUUCAGCUUGUAUGAGACCGUACCGCAAACCGACACAGGUGGGCAGGAUGAAAAUUCUAAGGCGCUUGAGAGAACUCAGGAGAAGGAACUCGGCAAAUUGACACCGUAACUUCGGGAGAAGGUGUGCCCCGGUAGCGUGUAGCGACUUGCUCGCGAAGCGCGAUGGGGUUGCAGUGAAAUGGUGGCUGCGACUGUUUAAUAAAAACACAGCACUCUGCAAACACGAAAGUGGACGUAUAGGGUGUGACGCCUGCCCGGUGCCGGAAGGUUAAGUGAGUGGGGUGCAAGCCCUUGAUCGAACGCCCCGGUAAACGGCGGCCGUAACGAUAACGGUCCUAAGGUA